rnacentral:tRNA from 1 species
GGGGCCUUAGCUCAGCUGGGAGAGCACCUGCUUUGCAAGCAGGGGGUCAUCGGUUCGAUCCCGAUAGGCUCCACCAG